AAGCCUCGAGGGACUCGUGCUCGGAAAUUGAGGCGUCAGAGACGCGGGGUCCGGUGCAAGUCUCGCGCUGAUCGUGCCGUGUAUGGCGAGUGGAAUGUGACAGGAUUACCUGCCGAAGUGAACUUUGACGUGUGAGAAGGUACGACUCCCAACUAAAGGCUCUGAUCCAUUGCCUACAGUAGAUGGCGGUAAUGCUCUGAAAAAGAAUCCGAACCGCCAAUAAGCACGAAGAAGAAGAAGCGAUCCUGCUGCGCAUGCGCGGAGGUCAGACAGCCAAGAUGGCGGCGAGUAACGGCGGAGGAAUGGAGGUGGACGCUGCAGCGAGCCCCCAGUGUGAUGGCGUCUGGAGUCACGGGGAGUGUGUCUGUAGCUCUGCAUCCGCUCGUGAUCCUGAAUAUCUCCGAUCACUGGAUCCGGAUCCGCUCGCAGGAGGGACGAGCCAUUGCAGG